rnacentral:misc_RNA from 1 species
AAAUUAUAAGUGAAAUAUAUUAAAAACACCAAAAUGUAAGUGUUAUGUUCGUCAUUGAUUCUCAUAAUUUAAACUGGAAACAUUUAUGCAAGACAUCUAAAUUUAAAUAUUACAUCAAUCCCUAACUCUCUUAGGUUUAAAUGCUAUCUCCAUCACUAUUUAAUCUCAAAUCUAAACUGGUAAUAUAUUAAAAAGAGAGAGGUUUGCUUCUACCCGUCACAGAGCAACAGAAACAUACGAUCACAAUGCUUUAGAAAAAAAUUCAUGUCCAAACCAGUCGACUAUGUCGAAAGCAAUAGAGAUUUAACUAAAAUCAUGGGUUGAAUAUUAAAUAAGAAACAAAUUGAAGUUUAAGCAUCAUUAAGUUUGUUAGCCAUAAAAUAGACGUAUGCACGUAAAAAUGAAUGAAUCAUUUAUAUUCAGGCCAACCUACUGGCAGGUAAGAUUUAGAUGCUAACAGCUAUUAAUUACAUAUCCUUCAAAUUACUGUUUGGAAGCCGUUAUUAUAAGUGAAGUUCUAAGGUGAACUCAGACUAUAGCCCUACAAGGGAUUUUUAAAUAACAAAUGAUUCAAACAAAGAAAAAUAAAAAUCCAUCAUUUGGAAAAAAGGGGACAAAAUGACUAUUUGACUUUGAAAAGAUAUAUGCAAUAGUGUGUGACAAUAUUUAUUUUUGUACCGUCAUAGGUAAAUCGGUGAGUCUGAUGGAAAUGACUUGAAUUUAACAAUCCUGAGUUAAAGGAAAUAAUGACUAAUACAUUUUGCAGCUUGCAAAUUCGGCUGCUCAUGUAGAAAGGUACCAUAAAAAUCACAUAAAAGGCAGGCAACAAAACUGAAUUAUCUAAUUGGGCAUACAAAAGAACCAAUUGAAAUUUGCAUAUUUACACGUCCACUAACAUUAGUAUUAGUAUAUUACUAUACAACUGCUCUUAGUCAGACAAAGACAAACGUGAAAAAUAUUUUAACUAUCCAAAAGGUAGUAACAUCAUUGGCUGGUUAGCUGCAGUGUCUUCCUCAGUCUUCGAGGCAGCUAGCAGGCAUUACUUUGGCCAGAAGAUAUAUAUUUAUCAAAAUGUCCUAAUGGGUAUUAUUAUAACCAGUUUCUGUUUUCCUAGAGGACUCAUCUGACCUGAGACCCCAUCUGUGGUCGUUUCUUCUGUACGUAGGGGAAGAAAAGGCCACACAGGGGUAUGCCUGCUUUGCAUCCAAGUAAAAAUCUAUUUCUUUCCUAAUAUUCUAAUCCUCCACACUGUACUCACUAAUUCGCUAUUCCUCUCUCUGAGGGUUCUGGUUUUCCAUCUCCUGCAUGAAAUUUUCUUUAAAGCUUCCAAAUAGAGAGCUUGCGUUUACCAUUUGUUACAUUUUUUUUUUCCAGGACAAUUCAUCCUCUUAACCAUUCAAGAAAUGGAAACAAGAAGAAAACAUUAAAAUUCUUCAUUUUUUAAGCUUACUUGCACACUACAACCAACCAAAGAGACAACAAGAAAGAGUAAAAAGAGAACACUAUAGAAAACAAGAAUCAGCUUCCAAAUUCAAAAUCAAAUCCCAAACAGAUGCGAGAAAGAUAAUUGAUACGUACGCAGAGCCAAAUAAACGAAAACAGGCAAAUAAAAGAAAAGAAAGAUCGUACCUGGAAUCAGUAGAGUAUUCAAAA